UUCUAACAUACAUCUAGAUUUAUUACCAUAUAAAAUAUUUUAACUAACUUUUACAUACUCUAAACUUUUAUAAUACGACAACGAUUUCUUUAUUCUUUCUUUCCACUAUCGUAUUUUCUUUAUUUUUAAGUUCUCAUUCUUAAUAACCAUACUCUUUCAUUAUAUUGUAGUGAGUCUACUUCCUAUUUUCCAUCUACUCAUCUUGCAAUUAAUUUCUAACACUCAAUGCUAUUGUGAAUCCUCGACAGUGGUGCCAAAAUAUAAUUAUCAUUUUACUUAUUCUACUCAUUCAUUUCAGAAUAAACUUAUAGAAGGAGAUUCAAACGCAGAGAGAGACAGAGAGUAUGAGUUCUACUUGUUAGAAUCACACAAUUAAUCAUAUUCCAAACCACUGAAAAUACCAAGGAAGACCACAAUUUUUUCCACUUCUUAAUAGUGUUCCGCCAUCACUAAUAACAACAAUGUGUAAUCCUGUACUAUCCUAAAAGAUGGUAUAUAAUCAUUCUAUAAUCCAAACACUGGAAUCCUUCACCACUAACUGCCCUUUUCAACAUACUCCUUCACAGAAUUCCAGACUCUAUAGACUCCUUCUAAUGAAUCAU
rnacentral:lncRNA from 1 species